rnacentral:rRNA from 1 species
ACGCUCGACACCUACGGGAGACAGCAGUGGGGAAUAUUGCACAAUGGGGGAAACCCUGAUGCAGCGACGCCGCGUGGAGGAAGAAGGUCUUCGGAUUGUAAACUCCUGUUGUUGGGGAAAAAGNGGAUGGUACCCAACAAGGAAGUGACGGCUAACUACGUGCCAGCAGCCGCGGUAAUCUGAGCGGGCUGGCAAGGC